rnacentral:tRNA from 1 species
GGACUGUAGCUCAGUAGUAGAGUGCUUGCCUAGCAUGUGUGAGGCACUGGGUUCGAUCCUCAGCACCA